UACGAAGGGGGCUAGCGUUGUCCGGAUUUAUUGGGUUUAAAGGGUGCGUAGGCGGUCUUAUAAGUCAGUGCUGAAAUAUCCCGGCUUAACCGGGAGGGUGGCAUUGAUACUGUAGGACUUGAGUAAAGUUGAGGUUGGCGGAAUUGACGGUGUAGCGGUGAAAUGCUUAGAUAUCGUCAAGAACACCGAUAGUGUAGACAGCUAACUAAGCUUUAACUGACGCUGAGGCACGAAAGUGUGGGGAUCAAACAGG
rnacentral:rRNA from 1 species